GGACCCGCACAAGCGGUGGAUGAUGUGGAUUAAUUCGAUGCAACGCGAAAAACCUUACCUACCCUUGACAUGUCCGGAAUCCUGCAGAGAUGCGGGAGUGCCCGAAAGGGAAUCGGAACACAGGUGCUGCAUGGCUGUCGUCAGCUCGUGUCGUGAGAUGUUGGGUUAAGUCCCGCAACGAGCGCAACCCUUAUCAUUAGUUGCUACGCAAGGGCACUCUAAUGAGACUGCCGGUGACAAACCGGAGGAAGGUGGGGAUGACGUCAAGUCCUCAUGGCCCUUAUGGGUAGGGCUUCACACGUCAUACAAUGGUCGGUACAGAGGGUUGCCAAGCCGCGAGGUGGAGCCAAUCCCAGAAAGCCGAUCGUAGUCCGGAUUGUUCUCUGCAACUCGAGAGCAUGAAGUCGGAAUCGCUAGUAAUCGCGGAUCAGCAUGUCGCGGUGAAUACGUUCCCGGGUCUUGUACACACCGCCCGUCACACCAUGGGAGUGGAAUCUGGCAGAAGUAGGUAGCCUAACCGCAAGGGGGGCGCUUACCACGCUGGGUUUCAUGACUGGGGUGAAGUCGUAACAAGGUAGCCGUAGGGGAACCUGCGGCU
rnacentral:rRNA from 1 species